ACAAUGAAAUUAACCUUCUCUGUGACGUCAGGAUAGGUUGAAUUCAUCGU
rnacentral:pre_miRNA from 1 species